rnacentral:rRNA from 1 species
UACGUAGGGGGCGAGCGUUGUCCGGAUUUAUUGGGCGUAAAGAGCUCGUAGGCGGUUCACUAAGUCGGGUGUGAAACCUCCAGGCUCAACCUGGAGACGUCACCUGAUACUGGUGUGACUAGAGUCCGGUAGGGGAGUGUGGAACUCCUGGUGUAGCGGUGAAAUGCGCAGAUAUCAGGAAGAACACCAGCGGCGAAGGCGGCACUCUGGGCCGGUACUGACGCUGAGGAGCGAAAGCGUGGGUAGCAAACAGG